rnacentral:rRNA from 1 species
UACAGAGGUCUCAAGCGUUUGUUCGGAUUCAUUGGGCGUAAAGGGUGUGUAGGUGGCGCCGUAAGUCGGGUGUGAAAUUUCGGAGCUUAACUCCGAAACUGCAUUCGAUACUGCGGUGCUUGAGGACUGGAGAGGAGACUGGAAUUCAUGGUGUAGCAGUGAAAUGCGUAGAGAUCAUGAGGAAGACCAGUGGCGAAAGGCGGGGUCUCUGGACAGUUCCUGACACUGAGACACGAAGGCCAGGGGGAGCAAAACGGGG